rnacentral:rRNA from 1 species
UCCCGCGAACCAUCAAUUCUUUGAACGCAAGUUGCGCCCGAAGCCAUUCCGGCCGAGGGCACGCCUGCCUGGGCGUCGUGAGACCCCCUGCCCCCGGGCACCCUAGCCGCACCGGCGGGGACGUGCCCGGGCGCGGAAUAUGGACUCCCGCGGGUUCGGCUCGCGCGGCGGGUCGAGGCGCGGUUGGCCGAAAAUCGAGCACGGCCGCGACGGGCCCCACGGCGAUCGGUGGAUCGAGCGAGAUUGGCUGCGUCGUGGGCUCGGCAUGCGGAGGGCUCCGGACUUUGACGAUCCCAAGCGCGAUCCCAGGUCAGGCGGGGCUACCCGCUGAGUUUAAGCAUAUCAAUAAGCGGAGGAAAAGAAACUAACGAGGAUUCCCUUAGUAGCGGCGAGCGAACCGGGAAGAGCCC